rnacentral:lncRNA from 1 species
AGACCAUCACGUGGAUGGCAUGCACAAGAUGCUGUAGGAGUAUGCCACAUACAACGGUGCAGAGGCUGAUGAAUUUCUCCUCCUCUUCGUCCAGUGUGUGGAGCCUGUACCGCUCAAGCGGGUGAAGGAUCAACUGGUAGCCGUCGGUGUACACCCAGUAGAGCACGAUGGGCAAGAAGGUAAAUGUGUAUACCCAGUAGAGAAUGAUCGCCAUCACGACAUGAAUUUAGCACAAACAUCUUUCCCAAUCCCAUAAAAAGAUUUGCAAAACAAGAUCCAGGACCAAGCUACGGACCUCUAUGUAGCGUUCGAUGAGCUGCCGCUCGAACAGGAGCCCUGACUUCGUCGACACCACCGGCUCGUUCGGUACCUCGCCCGAGAAUAGGGAUAAGCGACACGGGACGAGUUAGCUCACGAAGCGACAGAUCAGCUGAUCUAGGGUUAGGAGACAGACAUGCGAGGGAGGGAGAGGGGCAUUACCUCUGUUGAGUCGAAUCCGACGGGAAUGCCCAUCAUAUUCAUCAUAUCCAGUUCCUCCGCAUUCACUUAGCCGUCACCCACCGCCGAAGGCCUCGACGUGACUGAGAGUGGCGGCGGCGGUAGCGGUCCCGAUCCGCCGACGGAGACCGGGAUCGGGAGCGCUUCCGCUCGUGCUCGCGGUGGACCUCUCCCAUGAACCGGAUCUGCGGCGCUCGGUCUGGCUCGUCCUCGGAGCCGGUAGCGGCGUCACGGGUGGCGUGGCUGGGAGGUCCAAACUGU